rnacentral:rRNA from 1 species
CAAUAGCGUAUAUUAAAGUUGUUGCAGUUAAAAAGCUCGUAGUUGGAUUUCUGGUCGGAAGCUCCUGUCCUCUGAUGAGCGUACAAGUGCGUCCUACCAUCCUUCUGUUAACCUUUAAGGCUUUCGCGGCUUUCUAGGGGCUCAGAUAUUUUACCUUGAGAAAAUUAGAGUGUUUCAGGCAGGCUAGCGCCGGAAUACAUUAGCAUGGAAUAAUGGAAUAGGACUUUUGCCUCUUCUGUUGGUCAUGAGGCUCGAGUAAUGAUUAAUAGGGAUAGUUGGGGGCAUUAGUACUUAACUGUCGGAGGUGAAAUUCUCGGAUUUGUUAAAGACUAACUUAUGCGAAANCANNNGCCAAGGAUGUUUUCAUNAA